ensembl:lncRNA
UGCCACCUGCUUACUUUAAAUGUAAAAGUACAGGCCAGCCAUUGGAAAGCUGCCACAGCGCUUUGGAACCCCUCUCAUUCUGCUCUAGUGAUGGGAGGGAAAAGGCCAAACUCUGACCCUUGGAAGCGGAGCAUCUGUUCCUCCGUGGCUCUCUAGGGGAAGAAACAGCUUGCUGAAUUCCUGAAAACGUCAUAAUAGGACCUGCUGAGCAGGUACGAGCUGGUGUCAGCACACCACUGUUACCACCUCUAAGAACUAUUUCUUGGGUGCACAUUUUUAUUUUUCUGCUUUUGUUUUGGGAGUUGGUUCCUGGACUCUUAGAUGAAAGCUCACUCAUGUCCUUGCGCUUAUCUCAUCGUGUGGAUCAUCGAGCAUAUUCAGUGAGAAGAAUGCAGUCUUUUGCCAAACAGGCCAAGAGUAGAGGGAGAGGAGCCUUGUGGGGGCCAGGGCUGUGCAAUGUCCUCCAGGGGGACACCCCGCGAUUGAUAAGAAACAUUUCUGGCUGACUCCUCACAUUUGCUUUCAGUCAGGAGCGCAAGCGUCUGGUUUCAAAUAUAAAUACUUAAAUGUUGAAUUGAAGCUAAACUUAUAUUCUCUGUAUCCAUUGUCAUUCAGUCCUGUUAUUGUCGGGCAACCUCUUCUUUAGGAAAACCAUUGGACCCUAAAAUAAAAUGUUCAGAAAACACGCAAAUGGAAAUAGCUUAAGCUCUCAGACUUUGGCAGUGUUACUUGAUUUGCUGUGGCCUCAGAAGGGACAAUCAUAAUAUUUUUCUGGCUGUCUUGUCUUGAUUUAUAAUUUGAAUCCCCAUAAAUGAUAAUAGAGAGGGCAAUUAUCAAAGAAACAGAAAGGGCAAUUAUCAUUAAAUUGAAAACACAUCACACAUCCAACAGGAUGAAUGACUGAGCUAAAAACAGAUUUUGUGGAUCUUGCAACUGUUCCAAAAGAACUUAAUGGAAGCAGCUUCAUCUCCCCACCUCCUCCAAUUAACCAGAUGACUUUGGAUAUAUUUUCCUUUUUUUUCCUUUGGAUGAUAACACAAGGCCUGUUAAUCUAAUCUGCCUGAAUACUGACACUACUUAGGAUAUGUAAAUUUAUGAGACUAAACCAGUUGCUGUUUGCCUAGUGUGAAAAAAAGCUUUCCUUUUUUUUGUAAAAACAAUAGAGAAAAAUUAGUUCUCUUGUUUGUACAUUUUCGAUUCCAGGAGACUGUAGACACCUCCUCAGCUGUUCUUAACCUUUGCAAUGAAUCUUUUUAAGUGGGGCAAUGUGGUGUUUUUGUUCAUGAGGCUAAAUAAUAGACUGGACAUUGAAAUUCCCCUAAAGGGCUUUUGUCUUGGUUGGAUAAAUGGAACAAAUUAUUCUCCAAACUAUAGGCAUUAGUUAUCAUUACUACGAAUAUGGAAGUAACAGGUAAAUGUUUAUGAAGGUCUUUUGUGGCGAAUUCUUACCAUCUGGAUUCACUAUUUUAAGGAGUAGAAUUAUAGACAUUCUCUGGAAAGGGUAAGGUGUGGAAGGAGAAAAAAAAACUCAAAAUUACUUUUGUCAGCACAUCUGUAUAGUAAAAAUGGUGGUGCUAUGAAUGUCAAUAUCUACCUUAUGGAGCCUUAACAAUCUGGUCCAAUCAGAUUCUGGGAGGGAAUAACAGGGUUUUCCCCUUUCAUGUUAAGUAGGGUUCACAGAGUGGAUAAACUCUGGCAGGCUUGUCUUCCUAAUAUAUGGCUCAUGAAGAAACUAAAUAUGGAACGAUGCAAAUGCUCAGACAAAUUUAAUUUGUAUUUAUUUCAUCUUGCCUCUGAUUUUCCCAUUCUGCUCCAUGACAGAGCCGAUCACCUGCCAUUGGUUAAUGCUUACCCAGAUAGGGUUUGUUUACUUGAGAACAAAGAACCAUAGGGUGAUCCCAAGACACGUGGCUGUGCUCUUAGUUACAGGGCUCAGACACUGAGGUAAUGGACAAAAAGGCAGGAAAAAAAACAAUUUGAAAGAAAGAAGGAAAGAAAGCUAAUAUUUGCUAAUCAUCUACUAUUUGUCAGGUACAAUGAAUAUAUGUAAUUUUAAUGUUGCCACUAUCUGAUAUCAAAUCUGUUACUGAGUCCUGUAUUUGUACAUCCUCCACCCCCCAAACAAAAACAAAUCCAUUACAUUUUACUAUGCUGUACUGUGAAUUCUCCUUUGCUUUGGAGGGCUGAGCUGUGCCUGCCGCGUGCCCAUUUUGGUGUUUUGUUCUUCAGAGAACAGAAUAUAUGCUGUCCUUUCUAGCUGCCAGCAAUAUACAACAUCAGUGCUGAAUAUUUUCCUUUUGAAGACUUAUGAUUCUCUAUUGCAUCAUCCUUUUUGCUAGCUUCCAUCUUCCACAUGUUCUAGAGCAAUCUUUCAACGUAAGAAAUAUUUGACAGCUUUUCCGAAACAAGAAAAUAGACAAAAUUUCUGUCCACUUUACCCACUUUGAAUUUGUAUAAAUGUGUGUGUCCCCAUAAAUUGCCAUCUUGAAUUGAUUUUAUACAUAUGUGUGUAUGUGUGUGGAGGAAAUAAAUUUUUAUACUUAUCAGUUCAUCUUGGUCAACAAAUUUAUUUUGAAAUACUAAGAGCUCUAAAAAAUAAGAAGUGGUUUCCCUUUAAGACUUCCCCACAGUUCUGCUUGCUUUGAAUUUGUAGAACUCUGGACAACCACCAUCUGUUGAUUAAGUAAUUUACUUUUGGACAUCCUCAUGGAGGGGGUGGUAGAGGAGGGGAUUUCCCCUUGAAUUCUAGGAAGUUGUUCUUCGGACUGAUAUUUGCUUCCUUUGAUGUCACAAUUUUUCUUGAUAUAUGUAAACAUUUAUUUUUAAAAGGGUUGUUAAAACUUACUGAAUAUUCUGUUUCAAUUCCUGUCAAAUACUGGUGAAGUAGAAAGGUCAAUUUAUGGAUCAAUAUGCGCACAGAUUGCAUGUCAAGUUAGUAAAAAGUGAACUUAAUAUUAUUUUAAUAUUUUUUAAUGUGUUUGGAAGUUUUUGAAAAAUAAAAAUUGAAAAGCCGUCCACUCGAAUAGGAAGUAUAGGUGUAAUAAAAUUCAUGUCAAUAAAGUUUCCUUAUCAUUAA